CAUUUUUAUGCAUUUGUUUAUAUGAGUAAGCAUUGACGUUGUACCAUGUUCUUUUGUGUUAGCAAAAUACUCUUUCUUACAAUAGUUACAAACAGCCUUUUCACUUCCAUCAAUAUCAGUUUUACGAGUAAAAGGAUCCCACGCACGAGAUCUUUUUUUCCUUCCUUUCUUUACUUUAGACUCAAUAGUUUGACUUUGAUCUAUUGCAUUUGAAUUAG
rnacentral:misc_RNA from 1 species